GAUGAAGAACGCAGCGAAAUGCGAUACGUAGUGUAAAUUGCAGAAUUCCGUGAACCAUCGAAUCUUUGAACGCAUAUUGCGCUCGAGGCCUCGGCCGAGAGCAUGCCUGUCUCAGCGUCGGCUCACCCCCUCGCCCCCCAUGCCGCCCGCUCUCGCAGCGGGCGCCGUGGCGCGGCGGACCUGGCCUUCUCGGCGCCACCUUUCCACCGAAAGGCGGCCGCCGGGUCGGCUGAAAUGCGGGGACUGCAGCACGGACCCGAUCAGGGCGCCAGCAUGGUAGGUGGCUUCGCCACAUGCCGCUGACGCCCGCCCGGGACCGGCCGCUCGGUCGGCAGGAAUCGGGGGCGCGCGCCGCGAGGUGCGCCCCCCGACACUUUUACUUUCGACCUGAGAUCAGGCAAGACCACCCGCUGAACUUAAGCAUAUCAAUAAGCGGAGGA
rnacentral:misc_RNA from 1 species